GGAGGAUAGUAAACAAGAUAGCAUCUACUAUAUUGUAUGUAAGUGUGCUAUAAGGUGCGAAAGGCUUUGUGAAUUAGGCAUUCUUCUUCCUCCAGCCAGGAGACAGACUCAGACAAUUGCUUAGUGUUGUAGAAACACUUCUCCAUAAUUCUACAGCUGUGUCUCAGGUGGUAACUGAAUAGUGAUGUUUUGAUCCCAGCUUUAUAGAUGGUGAGGCCCUAGACACAGCAGUUCUCUCUGAGCAAAUGGCGAGGCCCUGGAAGACACAUAUCUUUCCCAUAGAAGGUCUGUGUAUGCUGAGACUCAGAGCCAGAAGCCAGAAGAGCAAGCCUGGCACCCACAGUGCUCCAGUUUCCAGAAGGAAUCACAAAUUCCUUUCCUGUGCAGACAAAGGAACAAUUGUACCACAGGAGAACUUACUGGAAGAAUUUUCCUUUGGGUGGUGGAGUCUGCCCUGGGUGCUGGGAGAUCCAUAGCUCAUCUGGACCGGCCCGAAGUCCCUGAACUGCCCUCUUUGGUGGGCACCCAGGGGCAUCUGAAGGUGGAGAUUUUGAUAUUCUGCACUUUACUGAGCAAGGGAAACUUACCUUCAGGAUCAGUACCCUGAGAACAGGUCACAAUUUAUAAUGACACCUUAGAAAGUGACAGGAAGGCCUGGAAACCCAAGAACCAGGAUUCAAUUGGUGCAUCCUCCUUUUAUUUUUAAGGUGAGUGGGAUUGGAUUUUUUAUUCACUUCACUUGUGUCAAUUUUUCACUGAUAAAAGUGAGCGGACGCCUCAUGUUUACCUCUUCCACCUUGUGGGACAAGCUGGGACAGAGUAGGGCAAGAUGAAGAGGGAUCCUGUCCAUCACCCACUAGGGGUAGGGGGAGGGGUUUAUCUCUUCCCUUCCCACCGAGGACACAAGUUCACAGAACAAAAACAUUAAAAAUCUCCCUUGAGUGAGAACUGAGUUACAUAAAGGCUUUAGUAAGGCUUAUUAAGUUCCUUACAAAUCUUAACUCAUUGGCUCCUCAUUUCAGCCCUACAAGGCACUAUUAUUAUUGCUCCAUUUUACAGACAAGAAGACUGAGGUGUAGAAAGCCAA
rnacentral:lncRNA from 1 species